rnacentral:rRNA from 1 species
GCGGGCGGUUCGCCGCCCGUGACUCUGCGAGAAGUCCAUUGAACCUUAUCAUUUAGAGGAAGGAGAAGUCGUAACAAGGUUUCCGUAGGUGAACCUGCGGAAGGAUCAUUGUCGAGACUGAAAUAUAUCGAGCAAUUUAGAGAAUCGGUCAGAAUAGGAAGUGGCUAUAAUAUCCACUGUAAAAGCUAUCCCAUUCGUCACCUCAUCACUUAGGGCGAGGUCCUGAAUAGGGGUAGAUGAACACUCAAAUCGGCGCAACAUCGCGCCAAGGGAUAUAUUCAAAAGCGAGCCCUCAAAUGGGUUUCGUGGCAUGGGGUGCUGUUGCAUGCCCUAAGGAUUGACAUGACUCUCGACAAUGGAUAUCUUGGCUCUAGCAUCGAUGAAGAGCGCAGCGAAAUGCGAUACGUGGUGCGAAUUGCAGAAUCCCGCGAACCAUCGAGUCUUUGAACGCAAGUUGCGCCCGAGGCUAAACGGCCAAGGGCACGUCUGCCUGGGCGUCAAGCAUUAUAUCACUUCGAGUCAACACCAUCCCAUCCAGAUGGGAUGGCAAAGGCUAGGAUGUGCAGAGUGGCCCAUCGCUCCCCUCAGAGUGGUGGGCUGAAGAGCGGCUUAUCAUCUCGUUGGCUGUGAAUAAUAAGGGGUGGAUUAAAACGAGUCCCGUGUUAUUAUCUCGCGUAUGCCUGAGAAAAGAUUUUACAUAUUCAGGUGAUCCAAAAACAUGCGCUGAUCCAUGGAUGGCGUUUUGAAUGCGACCCCAGGAUGGGCGGGGCCACCCGCUGAGUUUAAGCAUAUCAAUAAGCGGAGGAAAAGAAA